UCUAGGGGAGCUACAAAUUCAUUGAGGCUAUCUUGAAUAUCGAUUGCAGAGAUUCUUGUGAGGAUAGUUGGGAAGGAACCAGAUGACACUCCGAUAUGCAGCAACACAAACCUGAAUUUCAUCAUGCUGAUAGUUUGUAAGAUCAGUACAAAGAGGAACAAAGCGGGGUGUCAUCUGCUGUAUCGAUACGGACACGACUUUGAACACGGCUGUGGCUCCAGGUUCACGUUUGUGACGAAGAACCAAACUGUGUUUCUCCACCUGAGCAAUUUAACAGCAGGCGAUAACGGAGGAUACACCUGUGAGUGUUCACAUCCCAGAGGAACAGAUGUUCUCCAUUUCCUUGUCACGAUAUCAGGUAAGUGCCACCUUAUUUUAUGCUCAGGUGUCGGCCAAAUUCAAAGUGGAUAUUUAGGUAUGUGGGCACAUUGUGUUGGAUUGUUUGCAUGGCAGAACUGAUCAUGAUGUUUCUUUACACAUUAAGCUAAAUCCCACCAAGUUCUGUUUUUUCCUGACAGUUUUUUUUUUCUUUUAAAUGUUUCAGAGUUGGAAGAGGCCAGCAGCUCAAAAGAAAUGUUAAUUUUAUGUCCUUUGACUGGUGCGAUGAUGAUAACUGGAGCAAUUCUGGGAAUCAUCCACAGGAGAAGAAGUCGUGGCAACUGUUCAAGGACAGAAGAUCCUGGAUCACCUGCACAUGAAACUCCUGGCUCUUCAGACAAAAAUGAAUCAGAUGAGCCUUACUCAAGCCUUCAAUGCCCCACAAAUGAUGUCUACCAAACUAUCACCUCAGUUCAACAUGACAGUUGGAGAAAUUGAGAAAACAACGCAACUGUCAACUUGGUCUGACUCACUGGGUAUGGACAGUGAAAGUUAGACUAUAAAUCCUGCCACACUGUUAAUCUGGCUUUCUCCUCUUCUUCUAAUGCCGUUGUUAGUUUUUCCCAAAUCCCCUUUGCUUCAGAAAAUGGCAAAAACAUCAGCCUCAGAGCAGCAGAACGAUGUUGAGGUGGAUUCAGAUCAUUCAACACAGCACUGUGUACAAACAAAUCUGAGUCAGAAAGACGACAGAUUUAGUUAAAACUGCACCAAUUCUGCCCACAGGAGUCAAAGAUAAACCAGAAGAUUGUAGACAGGAACCAAAAUGAGAGGAAAAUGGCCAAAGGACAUUUAACUAAAUAUUAGCAUUUCUGUAUGUAUAUUAUUGACCGAGCUAGAUUUUACCACAUUUUCAGAAAAACAGUUUAAAAACAAUCUAUGGAAGAACCUAAAUGCAUGAUUGUUGUGAAAAGAUUUCAUCAUAGAAAACUAAGUUUCUAAGUUUGUUACAGAAGUCAUUGGAACUGAGGACUGUUGUGAUUUACAUGAUCUUUACAAGUGUAUGUAAACCUUCUUACUCAAUUGUAUUUGUUUUAUUGAUUCCAAAGCAAUAUUUAAACGUGUUGCUGUUGUACUAUGACUUGUUUGCAGUUGUUGAUGUUAACAAAAAGCUAAUCCAAUAUUUAGUCAUAUUUCUCAAGAUGUUGGAUCCUUAUAAUGUGUCAUCUGUUAGACUAGGAUGCUUUGCCUGUAAUUCUUGAAACUGGAGUGACUGAUUUGUUCAUUUUCACUCUGUAAAUGUGCUAAUA